GAAACACAAGAGUGCAGCAGACCAAAAGGAAAAACUUCAUGAUUGUUUUUGUAUUUUUGUAUUUCUGUAUUUUUGUUUCUUCUUUUUUUCUGUUUUUCUU
rnacentral:ribozyme from 17 species